GAGGUGAGCUGAGGUGAGGGGUGCAGCCUGACUGUGGGUGAGGUGAGCUGAGGUGAGGGGUGCAGCCUGUCUAUGGGUGAGGUGAGCUGAGGUGAGGGGUGCAGCCUUCUGUGGGGUGACGUGAGCUGAGGUGAGGGGUGCAGCCUGUCUGUGGGUGAGGUGAGCUGAGGUGAGGGGUGCAGCCUGUCUGUGGGGUGAGGUGAGCUGAGGUGAGGGGUGCAGCCUGUCUGUGGGUGAGGUGAGCUGAGGUGAGGGGUGCAGCCUUCUGUGGGGUGACGUGAGCUGAGGUGAGCUGAGGUGAGGGGUGCAGCCUGUCUGUGGGGUGAGGUGAGCUGAGGUGAGGGGUGCAGCCUGUCUGUGGGUGAGGUGAGCUGAGGUGAGAGGUGCAGCCUGUCUGUGGGUGAGGUGAGCUGAGGUGAGGGGUGCAGCCUGUCUGUCGGUGAGGUGAGCUGAAG